AUAUUUCUUUUGAUAAUUUUGAAAUACAAACUAGAUUUCAAUGAAAAGAUAUUGAACAGGACCAUAAAAAUUAUGAUUAAUUCUGUUUGAUAAGGAUAUUUAUUUAGUCUGUUUAGUUACUUAUUUCUGUUGAUUGGAAAAUAGUACUUUGGCCGUUUAUUUUAUUUUUUAACUGUUGUAAAUGUGACUUAUGUUAAUUUGGAUUUGUAAUUAAGACUUACUUCUCCUUUUUCAUUUGGGAAUUACAUAUUUCAUAUUCGUUUUACUUUCAUUUGUUGUGCUCCGAAAGGAUCGUUUUAUAGAUUUAGUAUAAAGUUAACUGAUUAUUAUUUGGUGGGAUUCGCGCGCGCUCGUGUGUGUGUGUGUGUGCGUGUGAAAGUCUGUUAUUUAUUUUUAUGUUGUAUAAAAAUAUAUCUGAAAUGCUUAAUUCAUGAUAAGCGUUAAAAGAAGUGUUUAGAUUUUGCUGUCAACCUUCUCGGAUGCAUCUGUUGCUAUGUCUUACAAAACAUCAGGAUUAUUUGUUGCUGUGUUCAAGUUUGACUGGAAGUUAAGUGGUGUCACUCUUAUGGCAAGAAAAACGUGAAAGGUGGGCGAGGGGUUAAAAGGAGAAGGCAGGGAGAUAAUCAUGCUUUAGGAAAGAGGAGGAAACUCCGGCUAGGCGGCACAAUUUUAGAUCGACGAGACUAUCAGUUAUGCCUGCCAACACCGAACUUGUACGUGGGAAGACGUAUAUUAAGAGUAAGACGAUCGACAGGAAUAUUUGACCUUCGUAGUAAUGUUGUUACGUUGCAUAUGUUAUCAGG